rnacentral:rRNA from 1 species
AUUGAACGCUGGCGGCAUGCCUUACACAUGCAAGUCGAACGGCAGCAUGGAGAGCUUGCUCUCUGAUGGCGAGUGGCGAACGGGUGAGUAAUGCAUCGGAACGUACCGUGUAAUGGGGGAUAACGUAGCGAAAGUUACGCUAAUACCGCAUACGACCUGAGGGUGAAAGCAGGGGAUCGCAAGACCUUGCGUUAUCCGAGCGGCCGAUGUCGAAUUAGCUAGUUGGUGAGGUAAAGGCUCACCAAGGCGACGAUCUGUAGCGGGUCUGAGAGGAUGAUCCGCCACACUGGGACUGAGACACGGCCCAGACUCCUACGGGAGGCAGCAGUGGGGAAUUUUGGACAAUGGGGGCAACCCUGAUCCAGCCAUGCCGCGUGAGUGAAGAAGGCCUUCGGGUUGUAAAGCUCUUUCGGCCGGGAAGAAAUCGCACAGGCUAAUACUCUGUGUGGAUGACGGUACCGGCAUAAGAAGCACCGGCUAACUACGUGCCAGCCGCCGCGGUAA